UUUUUGUUGAAGGAGUCAGUGAAGCUGUAGCACUGUGAUGAUUACGUUCUUGACUACUGGGGAGCUGGAACCAAAGUUACCGUUGAGCCUGAAGGUCCAGAUGUGACUCCAACCCUCUACGUCCUGAAUCCCCAGAAACCCGGCAACACCCUGAACAAAGCGGAUCAGCUGAAUUCAGAUGUCUGUCUGGUCACAGAUUUCCAUCCGAAGGUGGAUGACGUGGUUCCAAAGGUGACAGGUGGUCCGGUCAGUGUGACCACUGAUGAUGCUGUUUCCUCAAAGAAUAACAAAUACAAUGCAGCAUUGAGAAACAAAACCAUCCACUCCUGUGGGAUGAACGGGAUGUUCAGUGAUGAAGCAGAUGAUGCAUGUGGGAACAUUUAUCCAGAAAAAGCCAAGCUGAACUUCUACCUGCUGCUGAUGAACGGAGUCCGAGUGGUGUUCACCAAAGCUCUGGCCUUCAGCACCAUCCUCACCAUCAGAGGCCUGAUCUUCUAAACUUGAGCCUUCAAGGCCUCUGUACAGACCAAUAUAACACCUGUUGUAUAAUCUGUAGAGCAAAUUAUCUCCCAAGAAAAUAUUUAUUCCAUUCAUCUUAACAAUAAAGUGCAGGUCUUGUCAAGACAAACAGUAAGGGCAGGACAUUGUAAAAUCUGAAACAUUUUAUAUAAUCUGUUAGACUAAUGGUAAACACAAAACACAACUAAUGCAGAGAAAAGUGGAAUAUAAAAAAAAGAAAAUCAAAUGUGUUAAAAAAUGUAAAGGUGUUACCUUUACAGUUUUUAAAUAAUUUUUCAAAUAUGAAAUAUAUAUAUAUUUGUAUGUUUUAAAGUAAAUCUAUUACAUAAAUCACAUCUGCAAUAAAAAGAAAUAAAAAUAAAAACAACAAAAUGAGCGAACCUCUUGAAAAAAGAAAUAAUCUAUUACUUUCUUUAAACCUUCUUGUUUUUGUAUUUUUUCUCUAGACUUUUUUUCUCAUCCAUAUGAUUCACAAUGUAUUAUGUUGAAGGAACUGAAAAUGCACCUGAAUAAACAUGUGUUUCAGACAUAUUGCAUAUUUUGAAUCAGAGAAGUUGAAUAAAAUUCAAAUAAAUGAGAACAUCAGCAGAAAAUAAUGAUAUUUAUUUCAGGAUGUAAUCACAGAAUGAAAGUGUUUGUCACACAAUUGGGAAAUGUGGGUCCAUGUGCAAACAAUAUUUGAAAUACAUUUAGGAAAAAAGAAGACAUUAAUUUGUAUGUGUUUGCUUCAUUGUUCUGUAAUGCAAAUAAACAACAAUCAUGUAUUAUAGGUAACUUUCUUAUAUUUUGCUCAUAUUUAGUUAAUUUGAAUUGUUUAAUAUCUUGCAUGGUUAUUUUACAGCAUGUUUCUGUUUGUUUGUUCAUGUCUUUUGUGACUUCUGAUGUUUUCUUUCCUUAAUCUUUCAAACCUCUUCAUUAAAAAUAGUUUAACAACAUUGUUCAGUUGAUCAACCUGCACAUCCCCACUCAGUUUAUCUUAAGCACUAAUUAUAUGUUUUACUAAUAACCUUGGUGAAUCAGAGAAACCUCUCAGUUUUUAGCACUGCAGUUUCAUCAGUUGAAACCACAUUUAAACAGGAAGUUGAAAACACAGCUGAAAAUCGGACAGAAACCAAGCAGCAGCUCAGUUUCACAUUAAAACAUUCUGGUUAACCUCA